rnacentral:rRNA from 1 species
GACGAACGCGGGCGGCGUGCCUAAUACAUGCAAGUAGAACGCUGAAGGAAGGAGCUUGCUCUUUCCGGAUGAGUUGCGAACGGGUGAGUAACGCGUAGGUAACCUGCCUGGUAGCGGGGGAUAACUAUUGGAAACGAUAGCUAAUACCGCAUAACAGUAGAUAUCGCAUGAUAGCUGCUUAAAAGGUGCAAUUGCACCACUACCAGAUGGACCUGCGUUGUAUUAGCUAGUUGGUGAGGUAACGGCUCACCAAGGCAACGAUACAUAGCCGACCUGAGAGGGUGAUCGGCCACACUGGGACUGAGACACGGCCCAGACUCCUACGGGAGGCAGCAGUAGGGAAUCUUCGGCAAUGGACGGAAGUCUGACCGAGCAACGCCGCGUGAGUGAAGAAGGUUUUCGGAUCGUAAAGCUCUGUUGUAAGAGAAGAACGAGUGUGAGAGUGGAAAGUUCACACUGUGACGGUAUCUUACCAGAAAGGGACGGCUAACUACGUGCCAGCAGCCGCGGUAAUACGUAGGUCCCGAGCGUUGUCCGGAUUUAUUGGGCGUAAAGCGAGCGCAGGCGGUUAGAUAAGUCUGAAGUUAAAGGCUGUGGCUUAACCAUAGUACGCUUUGGAAACUGUUUAACUUGAGUGCAAGAGGGGAGAGUGGAAUUCCAUGUGUAGCGGUGAAAUGCGUAGAUAUAUGGAGGAACACCGGUGGCGAAAGCGGCUCUCUGGCUUGUAACUGACGCUGAGGCUCGAAAGCGUGGGGAGCAAACAGG